GACGAACGCUGGCGGCGUGCUUAACACAUGCAAGUCGAACGGAAAGGCCCUGCUUUUGUGGGGUGCUCGAGUGGCGAACGGGUGAGUAACACGUGAGUAACCUGCCCUUGAUUUUGGGAUAACUUCAGGAAACUGGGGCUAAUACCGGAUAUGAGCCCCUGCGGCAUGGUGGGGGUUGGAAAGUUUCGGCGGUUGGGGAUGGACUCGCGGUUUGUCAGCUUGUUGGUGGGGUAGUGGCCUACCAAGGCCUUGACGGGUAGCCGGACUAGGAAGGUGACCGGCCACAUUCGGACUGGGCUACGGCCCGAAGUCGUACUGAAGGCAGCAGCUGGGAGUGUUGCAUACUGAGCGAAAGCCUGAGGCAGCAACGCCGCGUGCGGGAGGACGGCCUUCUCGGUGUAAACCGAUUUCGCCUGUGACGAAGGGUACGUGACGGUAAUGGGUAAAGAAGCACCGGCUAACUACGUG
rnacentral:rRNA from 1 species